GACGAACGCUGGCGGCGUGCCUAAUACAUGCAAGUUGAGCGCUGAAGGUUGGUACUUGUCCCUACUGGAUGAGCAGCGAACGGGUGAGUAACGCGUGGGUAAUCUGCCUUUGAGCGGGGGACAACAUUUGGAAACGAAUGCUAAUACCGCAUAAAAACUUUAAACACAAGUUUUAAGUUUGAAAGAUGCAAUUGCAUCACUCAAAGAUGAUCCCGCGUUGUAUUAGCUAGUUGGUGAGGUAAAGGCUCACCAAGGCGAUGAUACAUAGCCGACCUGAGAGGGGGAUCGGCCAAAUGGGGAAUGAGAAACGGACCAAAAUACUAAGGGAGGCAGCAGUAGGGAAACUUAGGAAAAGGAAGAAAGUCUGACCGAGAAACGACGCGUGAGUGAAGAUGGUUUGCGGAUCGUAAAACUAGGUUGGUAGAGAAGAACGUUGGUGAGAGUGGAAAGCUCAUCAAGUGACGGUAACUACCCAGAAAGGGACGGCUAACUACGUG
rnacentral:rRNA from 1 species